rnacentral:lncRNA from 12 species
CGGAGGCGACCCCGACGCGGAGCCGAAAUCUGACACAUGUCACGCCCGCCCCGCCGCGCCGAGCGCUGCUGCUGGGGCCAAACUUUGCCGCCGCCGCCGCCGCCGCGGGAGGAGCGCGCCCGCCGCGGAGUUAAAGUCGCCGCCCGGCCCGGCGCGGAGGUGGCCGGGACGGGGCGGGGUGCGGGGGCGCCGCGCGCCACAGUGAGGCCAAGAAACUUACCGCGACCUGGGACGCCUGGCCAGCGUCCCGGGAGGUGGCACCCGCCGCGCCGAGGCAGGAGCCCCCAAACCACACACACCCACGAGCGAGUCCCGGCAGCUGCUGCCGCGAGUGUGUGUGUGUGUGUGUGUGUGUGUGUGUGUGUGUGCGCGUGCAGGGGGGCGGUGGUGCGCGCCCCGGGGGAGGAGGGGGGGGCCCGGAGGAAGCCGCAGCCGGCGGACGCGGCCGCCGCAUAAAUACCCGGGCCGGGCGCUCGCGGGGCUGGAGCCGGGGCGCAGCGGCCGCCGCGGAGCUGCACGCGCCGGCGUGUCUCGCGCUUUCUCGGAGGCUCGCGCUGUCUCGCGCUGCCGCUCCCCCACCCCGCCCCCCCCACCCGGAUCUGUGUGCGGGUCCGUAUGUGUGUCUAUGUGUGUGAGUGUGUGCGCCGGCGGGUGCGCGCUCCGGGCCGCGCGCGCGCGUGUUGUUGGCGCUGCGCACUGUACACACGCGGCGCGCGGGGCCGCCUCUCCCGCGAGGGGCGGGGGGAGGGGGCGCCGCCGAGGACUCCCGAAGUGCGGCUGGGCCACUUGUUUGUUUGGUUUCACUUUGCCUCGUUGGUGCCGGUGGUCGUCGUCGCUCCCCCAAAGUGCUUUUGGAAGCGGCCGGCCUGAAUGCUGGCGCCCCCCCUCCCCUCCCUCGCUCCCCCCGGUGCCCCCAACUUCUCGACGCGAGGCGGGGCGGGGAUGUCGCCGGGCUCCGCGGCGGAGCCUCCUGGCUGACGUCAGGUCCACCUGCUAUGUAAACAAGUCGCCCGAGAACUUGUUUGUUCGGCGCCGGGCUCCCGCCACCCCCACCGUCCUCCCCACCUCCAGCUCCGCCUCCUCCCGCUCGGCCCAGACGGCGCGGCGAGGGAGGGGGUGGGGAGGGAGGAGAGAACAAAACCGUAUGCUGUAUUGGCAGCGCCGAGUUGUGUCUGCUGCUUCUUGGCAGUCCCCAAAAUGGGAGCAGUCCCGAAAAAAAAAAGGAAAAAAAAUCACAAACGCGAGACCCGAAGGGCCCUGCCUCGCCCUCCCGACACGUUGGGGAUCAUUUCAGGUGAAGUGACUUGCGUGUGGGCUUCGCGGACGAGGCCAAGGAAAAAGCGGACUCUCCGAAUUAGCCCGCGACUGGUUUGGGACGAGAAAAGGGCGAACGGCGUCGCAGUCCCGGGAGGCCCGGGGCCGAGCCUUCCCGCCGGGUGUGCCCCCCGGGGGGCAGGCAGGUCCCGGAGCCCCGCUGCGCCCCGUCCUCCCGCGCGCCCGGGCCCAGCCCGUCGGCUCUGCGCUGUGUGUCCCCCGGGGUCCCUGGGACCCGAGCGCGCCGAGGCCCAUCCCGGAGGCGGCGGGGCCGCUCGGAGGGGGGACAAGUUCAAGUCCCCAACGCGGGGCAGGAGGGUCAGGCUCUCCGGCCGCGGAGAGGCGCGGGUUUGGUUAGCCUCUCACUUUUCUGUACCCAGAGCCACGUUUUGGGGUGAGAUUCGCAGCCUCUGACGUUUGUGUCUCGUGAGUACAAGUAGCCGGGAGCCAAGAGGUGCAGAAGCAGAUGUCUGUCUGUCUGUCUGUCUGUCUGUCGGAGCGCCUCUUCCCACCUGGGCCGCGCGCCCUCGCCGGGCGUCCGGGCCGAGCGCGGCUGAGCCCGCGGCCCCCCCUGCUCCCCCGGGGUGGGGUGGGGGGGACCCCGCCUAACUUCGCCCCAUUAUCUCGUCUCCUGCUGCCAUUUCCCGGGCCACCAACCCUCCUUCCCGCAGGGAAGACGCCCCGCGCCUUGAGAAAGCAGGUCCCGCCGGAGCCGCUGCCCCCCGCGGAGCCCGAGCCUGCAGCCAAUGGGCUGGGCCCGGGUUCGAGAGGUGAAAGUUCAGGCCCGGGGCUCGCCGCUCGGGCCCGGGCGCGUCGCCUCC